UGAGUAACCUGCCCUUAACUCUGGGAUAAGCCUGGGAAACUGGGUCUAAUACCGGAUAUGACUCCUCAUCGCAUGGUGGGGGGUGGAAAGCUUUUUGUGGUUUUGGAUGGACUCGCGGCCUAUCAGCUUGUUGGUGAGGUAAUGGCUCACCAAGGCGACGACGGGUAGCCGGCCUGAGAGGGUGACCGGCCACACUGGGACUGAGACACGGCCCAGACUCCUACGGGAGACAG
rnacentral:rRNA from 1 species